rnacentral:lncRNA from 1 species
CACGGGGGUCCCUCAGGCCGGGCACUGCUCAGAUGUCCUUGCCAGAAGCGCCUGUGUUCUCCAGGGGACUCAGACUUGGGACAAACUGGAGACACGUGUAGCCUGAAGGGGCAAGAGCUGGGGACACAGAGGAGCCAGGGUGGCAACAGGAACGUGAGGCCUAGACUGAUGGGAUGGGUGCCACUGACGCCCAUCUGAGCUCCUGGCAUCCGGAGUUCAGUGCUGGGCGGCUGGGGAGAUCCUGCGGGCUCGGGCACACAGGAGCCGGGACUGUGCAGUCUGCUGGGUGGCAAGAGGUCAGCUUGCACGUAAGGCCCACGGCCACCCGGCGCCAGGAGGAACCCUCAAACAGGAGAAUCACUAGUGCUGAACAUCACAGAUGAGCGAGCAUCCACUGAGUUCCUGAUUUGUGCAGAUGCCGGAGGGGCCAGAAUGAGUAGGACACCACCCCUGGAGCUCCCGAACUCCUCGAGAAGAGCCCGUGGGCUUCAGAAUGACGGAGGGUUUCAAACAGCGCUGGCUGUGCGGCAGGGACUGUUUACGGGUGACCUCGCCGCUCGUUUUGCAUCACACCCAGGGGAGGGUGUUCUGCUGGCGGCUGGACAUUCUCUGAAGCUCCGUGAAAUGGAUCCUUCAUUUCAAAAAGGCGCCAACAGUUCAGCUUCCUAAACACAUCUUUUUGGAAAGGCAUCCAGGGAGCAUGAAGCUUUCAGAACUGUUCAUGCCUAACCCUCCCAGCCCUGGUGAAGGAGCCACUCUGGGUUUACCGUGUGGCCCUUACCGCUCCCCACCCCGACCCCAGCUCACCCAUCACUCCCCGAGCUCAGAGGGCUGGUGCACAAUGAACUCACAGCACCGCGACCUGAGAGGCUGGGGGUGGGGGGGUGUUGGGGAGGGGCCAGGAGGGUGGGG